rnacentral:rRNA from 1 species
CCCGGGUCUUGUACACACCGCCCGUCACACCAUGGGAGCGGGAUGUACCAGAAGUAGGUAGGCUAACCGCAAGGGGGCCGCUUACCACGGUGCGUUUCGUGACUGGGGUGA